GUAGGGAAUAUUGCGCAAUGGACGAAAGUCUGACGCAGCGACGCCGCGUGAGUGAUGAAGGCCUUAGGGUCGUAAAGCUCUGUUGAAUGGGAAGAAAAAAAUGACGGUACCAUUCGAGGAAGGACCGGCUAACUUCGUGCCAGCAGCCGCGGUAAUACGAGGGGUCCUAGCGUUGUUCGGAAUCAUUGGGCGUAAAGGGUGUGUAGGUGGCCAUGUAAGUCAGGUGUGAAAGCACCGGGCUCAACCCGGGAAGUGCACUUGAUACUGCGUGGCUUGAGUACCGAAGAGGGUAGUGGAAUUCCAGGUGUAGUGGUGAAAUACGUAGAUAUCUGGAGGAACACCGGUGGCGAAGGCGGCUACCUGGUCGAGUACUGACACUGAGACACGAAAGCAUGGGGAUCAAACAGGAUUAGAAACCCUAGUAGUCC
rnacentral:rRNA from 1 species